rnacentral:tRNA from 1 species
GGAGAGGUAUCGAAGCGGUCAUAACGAGGCGGUCUUGAAAACCGUUUGCCUUAACGGGCACGUGGGUUCGAAUCCCACCCUCUCCGCCA